rnacentral:rRNA from 1 species
UACAGAGGUCUCAAGCGUUGUUCGGAUUCAUUGGGCGUAAAGGGUGUGUAGGUGGCGCGCUAAGUCGGGUGUGAAAUUUCGGAGCUUAACUCCGAAACUGCAUUCGAUACUGGCGUGCUUGAGGACUGGAGAGGAGACUGGAAUUCAUGGUGUAGCAGUGAAAUGCGUAAAGAUCAUGAGGAAGACCAGUGGCGAAGGCGGGUCUCUGGACAGUUCCUGACACUGAGACACGAAGGCCAGGGGAGCAAACGGG